rnacentral:rRNA from 1 species
UACAGAGGUCCCGAGCGUUGUUCGGAUUCACUGGGCGUAAAGGGCGUGUAGGCGGGAAGGCAAGUCGGGCGUGAAAUCCCCAGGCUCAACCUGGGAACUGCACUCGAAACUGCCUUUCUUGAGUGCCGGAGAGGAAAGCGGAAUUCCUGGUGUAGAGGUGAAAUUCGUAGAUAUCAGGAGGAACACCAGUGGCGAAGGCGGCUUUCUGGACGGUAACUGACGCUGAGACGCGAAAGCGUGGGGAGCAAACAGG